rfam:Danio rerio chromosome 4, GRCz11 reference primary assembly.
GCAAUGGUGGUUUAGUGGUAGAAUUCUCGCAUCCCACGUAGGGGACCUGGGUCCGAUUCCUGGCCAAUGCA